ACGACCUGACUUGAACAGGAUCUGUUCUAUAGGAUCGUACCUCUGUAUCCUUGAGUUCUAAGGAGACAGGAACCUAAGUCUGGUCGGUGAACCAUGACCGUCCGAUCAGAGCGUGAUUAAUGGUUGGUGAUCUAUAAUGUAGGUCACUCAGCUGUAGAUGAUCGUUCUCAGCUUGUCAUCUGAUGGCUGAGAUGGUCGGGCGGUUGUCUGACAGACU
rfam:Macleaya cordata isolate BLH2017 scaffold1323, whole genome shotgun sequence.